rnacentral:rRNA from 1 species
GACGAACGCUGGCGGCGUGCCUAAUACAUGCAAGUCGAACGGUCUUUUCUAUGGAAGCUUGCUUCCACUGAGAAGAUAGUGGCGAACGGGUGAGUAACGCGUGGGUAACCUGCCCAUAAGAGGGGGAUAACAUCCGGAAACGGGUGCUAAUACCGCAUAGGUUUCUUGGUCGCAUGAUCGAGAAAGGAAAGACGGCCUUUGUGCUGUCGCUUAUGGAUGGACCCGCGGCGUAUUAGUUAGUUGGUGAGGUAACGGCUCACCAAGACGAUGAUACGUAGCCGACCGGAGAGGGUGAUCGGCCACAUUGGGACUGAGACACGGCCCAAACUCCUACGGGAGGCAGCAGUAGGGAAUCUUCCGCAAUGGACGAAAGUCUGACGGUGCAACGCCGCGUGAGUGAGGAAGGUUUUCGGAUCGUAAAGCUCUGUUGUGAGGGAAGAACAGCUUCCGGAGGAAAUGCCGGAGGUUUGCCGGUACCUCACCAGAAAGCCCCGGCUAACUACGUGCCAGCAGCCGCCGCGGUAA